rnacentral:sRNA from 1 species
GUCCUGCUUAUAAUCAAGUUUCCUUGUUAAAAUAGAGAUACGACAUUCGUUGAAAUUGACUUUAAUGGAGAGCACCCUUUAUAAAUUCGCCAAAAAAAUAAAUUAACGUUGUGUUCAGAAACUAAUAUAAUUUAAAAGUUUCCAGGCGACAUUUCAACUGUUGCCAGCACCCAACUCUGCUGAUAUUACGUCUAUGCUUCUUGCAGGAGCAUGUGUGCCAACCUAACGAGCCUUUGAGAUACGUUUCCACGUCGGCAAUGAUUCCGGAAUUUUCAGCCGACAGUUAUCUCACCCUGCACAAUGAGCCAACUCAUCGACCACCAUGGAGGCAUGGGCACCGGGCCACAGAGAUAGGAGUAUCUCGUUUUCAGCCGAGUCUCGGCUGACAUGUCAAACACAAAGACUGGCACAAGCACAUGCGGAAAAUUAUCAUUUGUCAAAAUCACAACAUGAAACCGUUUUAAAUUUA